rnacentral:rRNA from 1 species
UACGUAGGGUGCAAGCGUUAAUCGGAAUUACUGGGCGUAAAGCGUACGCAGGCGGCUUUGCAAGACAGGUGUGAAAUCCCCUGGCCUAACCUGGGAACUGCAUUUGUGACUGCAUAGCUAGAGUUUGUCAGAGGGGGGUGGAAUUCCACGUGUAGCAGUGAAAUGCGUAGAGAUGUGGAGGAACACCGAUGGCGAAGGCAGCCCCCUGGGCUAACACUGACGCUCAUGCACGAAAGCGUGGGGAGCAAACAGG